rnacentral:rRNA from 1 species
GACGAACGCUGACGGCGUGCUUAACACAUGCAAGUCGAAGGGAGUGGCGAACGGGUGAGUAACACGUGAGUAACCUGCCCUUUUCUUUGGAAUAAGCCUGGGAAAAUGGGUCUAAUACUGGAUGGAUUGGGAUGUGCUCGCGGGUUAUCAGCUUGUUGGUGGGGUGAUGGCUUACCAAGGCUUUGACGGGUUGCCGGACGGAGAGGGUGGUCGUGAACACGGGGACUGAAAUACGGCCCAGACUCUUACGGGAGGAAGCAGUGGGGGAUAUUGCACAAGGGACGAAAGGCUGAUGCAGCUGCGUCGAGUGGGGGAUGAAGGCCUUCGGGUUGUAAACUCCUGACGCCCGCGGAAUGGUAGUGGGUAAAGAAGCGCCGGCUAACUACGUGCCAGCAGCCGCGGUAAUAC